rnacentral:rRNA from 1 species
ACGGAGGGUGCAAGCGUUAAUCGGAAUUACUGAGCGUAAAGCGCACGCAGGCGGUUUGUUAAGUCAGAUGUGAAAUACCCCGGCUCAACCUGGGAACUGCCUUUGAUACUGGCGAGCUUGAGUAUAGUUGACGUGAGUAGAAUUUCAGGUGUAGCGGUGAAAUGCGUAGAGAUGUGGCAGAAUACCAAUCGUGAAGGCAGCCCACGGGAUUAAUACUGACGCUCAUGUGCGAAAGCGUGGGGAGCAAACAG